CAUGAUUCAUAGUAAUCGAACGAAUCGCAGGUAUAUGCGAUAAGUCAUUCAAGUUUCUGCCCUAUCAGCUUUGGAUGGUAGUGUAUUGGACUACCAUGGCAGUCACGGGUAACGGAGAAUUAGGGUUCGAUUCCGGAGAGGGAGCCUGAGAAACGGCUACCACAUCUACGGAAGGCAGCAGGCGCGCAAAUUGCCCAAUCCCGACACGGGGAGGCAGUGACAAGAAAUAACAACUCUAGGAUUUCUUAGAAGUGUAAUGAGGAUAAUUUACAAACCUUACCGAAUGCAAUUGGAGGGCAAGUCUGGUGCCAGCAGCCGCGGUAAUUCCAGCUCCAAUAGCGUAUAUUAAAGUUGUUGCAGUUAAAAGCUCGUAGUUGAAGUUCUGAUCGUUCAGGUCCUCAGCCUUAGGCGGGGAUUCUGACGGUCAUCCGCUUGCAAACAUAUGUUCGAUCUUCACCGGUUGGCUAUGUGAGUAAGCAAUUUACCUUGAGAAAAACAGAGUGUUCCAGGCAGGUUUGUCCGGAAUGCAUUAGCAUGGAAUAAUAGAACAUGACUGAAGUCUAUUUAUUGGUUUAAGGCUUUAGUAAUGAUUAAUAGGAACAGUCGGGGGCAUUCGUACUCAGCAGUCAGAGGUGAAAUUCUAAGAUUUGCUGAAGACGAACUAAUGCGAAAGCAUUUGCCAAGGAUGUUUUCAUUAAUCAAGAACGAAAGUUAGGGGAUCAAAGACGAUCAGAUACCGUCCUAGUCUUAACUAUAAACGAUGCCGACUCGGAUUCAGAUGAAUCAAAAAGUUCAUUUGGGACCGUAGGAGAAAUCAAAGUCUUUGGGUUCUGGGGGGAGUAUGGUCGCAAGGCUGAAGCUUAAAGGAAUUGACGGUUUUGCACCACCAUGGAGUGGAGUCUGCGGCUUAAUUUGACCCAACACUGGGAAACUCAUCAGGGCAAGAAGAUUUUAGGAUUGACAGAUUGAGAGUUCUUUCUUGAUUGGUCUAGUGGUGGUGCAUGGCCGUUCUUAGUUGGUGGAGUGAUUUGUCUGGUUAAUUCCGUUAACGAACGAGACCUUAACCUGCUAACUAGUGCUUCGAUCUCUAAUCGAAGGCACUUCUUAGAGGGACUAUGUGUGGUAAUCACAUGGAAGUUUGAGGCAAUAACAGGUCUGUGAUGCCCUUAGAUGUCCUGAGCUGCACGCGUACUACAAUGGCACUUUCAACAAGUCUUUCCUGAUCCGAAAGGAUUUGGGUAAUCUUUUUAGGGAGUGCCGUGCUUGGGAUAGAUCUUUGUAAUUGUGGAUCUUGAACUAGGAAUUCCUAGU
rnacentral:rRNA from 1 species